GACGAACGCUGGCGGCGUGCUUAACACAUGCAAGUCGAACGGAAAGGCCCUGCUUUUGUGGGGGGCUCGAGGGGCGAAGGGGUGAGUAACACGGGAGUAACCUGCCCUGGACUUUGGGAUAACUUCAGGAAACUGGGGCUACUACCGGAUAGGAGCUCCUGCUGCAUGGUGGGGGUUGGAAAGUUUCGGCGGGUGGGGCUGGACUCGCGGCUUAUCAGCUGGUUGGUCGGGGAGUUGCAUACCAAGGCAUUGACGGGUAGCCGGCCUGAGAGGGUAGACAGCGACAUUGGGACUACGAUACGGAGCAGAGUGCUACGGUGGGCAGCAGUGGGAAAUAUGGCACAGUGGGCCGGAGCCUGAUACAGCGACGCCGCGUGCGGAAUGACCGCCUUCGGGGUGUGAACCGCUUUCGCCUAAGACGAAGCGUGAGUGACGGUAAUGGAUAAAGAAGCACCGGCUAACUACGUG
rnacentral:rRNA from 1 species